CAAGAUAUUUUUAUUUGAAAGUAACAGAUUUGGUCCAUCUACUUUUUUAGAGGAAACGAAACAAGUGACCAAAUAUAUGUCGGUUCAGAAAUCACUCCAGAUGUGAGAAUAUUACACAUUGGAAGCCACAGAUCAACAAAAAGAGUCGAUUAUGAAAUACCUUCAGUUAAAGUGGUGAAAUGUGAUUGUCUAUUUGCAGCACGCCGAGGAUUGGUAUCUCCAGGAUCUAUUAACCAGUUUGGAUAUGUAAUACUCCCUCCGUUCUUUUUUAAUUGACUCGAAUUUAGUACAAGUUUGUACUAAAUCCGAGUCAAUUAAAAAGGAACGGAGGGAGUACAAAUGAGGAAAAUGAGGUUGUAUUAGGCGUAUGAACUGUAUUCUUUGGUACGAAACCUGAAUUUUCGUUUUGCA